UUUCCGGUUGAUCCCGCCGGACCUCACUGCUAUCGAGGUGGGACUAAGCCAUGCUAGUCGUACGCCCAAAACCAUGUUUGGGAGUGGCACACUGCUCAGUAACACGUGGCUAACCUACCCUUGAGACAGAGACAACCCCGGGAAACUGGGACUAAUAUCUGAUAAAUGAGAAUUCCUGGAAUGGAUUCUCAUCCAAAAGACAUCAAGAUCAUGCUUCUUGGUGUUGCUCAAGGAUGGGGCCGCGGCCGAUCAGGCUGUUGGUGAGGUAACGGCUCACCAAACCUAUAACCGGUACGGGCCGCGGGAGCGGGAGCCCGGAGAUGGGAACUUAGACACGGUCCCAGGUCCUACGGGGCGCAGCAGUUGCGAAAACUCCGCAAUGCACGAAAGUGUGACGGGGCUACCCCGAGUGCCGUCCGCAGAGGAUGGCUUUUCUCUGGUUUAAGGAGCCGGAGGAAUAAGGAGAGGCAAGACUGGUGUCAGCCGCCGCGGUAAUACCAGCUCUCCGAGUGGUGUGGAUGUUUAUUGGGCCUAAAGCAUCCGUAGCUGGCCAAGUUAGUCCCCUGUUAAAUCCACUGAUUUAAUCAUUGGAGUGCGGGGGAUACUGCUCGGCUAGGGGACGGGAGAGGCCGACGGUAUUUCCGGGGUAGGGGUGAAAUCCUAUAAUCCCGGGAAGACCACCAGUGGCGAAGGCUGUCGGCUAGAACGCGCCCGACGGUGAGGGAUGAAAGCUGGGGGAGCGAACCGGAUUAGAUACCCGGGUAGUCCCAGCUGUAAACGAUGCAGGCUAGGUGUUUGGGCGGCCACGUGCCGCUCUAGUGCCGCAGGGAAGCCGUUAAGCCUGCCGCCUGGGGAGUACGGCCGCAAGGCUGAAACUUAAAGGAAUUGGCGGGGGAGCACCACAAGGGGUGAAGCUUGCGGUUUAAUUGGAGUCAACGCCGGA
rnacentral:rRNA from 1 species